GCUUGGGUUUGAAGACAGGUGGACAGAAAGAACAAUAAAGAAAAGACAAAGACAAACCUCCAAACAAUCAAGUCACUGUUGUAUCGGAGCAAUGACCUGUGCUGUGAAUUGUGUUAGCUAGACAAGGUCAUCCUCAGUGGACCGUCACUUGGAAAGGGACAUUUAGACCACACAGGUCAGAGAUACACUGAAGUCAUUCUGGAAACCAGUCAGACAGAAAUGAUCUUCACAGAUUAGAAUGUACACGACCAAGUUCCCUUUCUCUGGGAAAUGAGAAUACUUUGAACAUCUCAGAGAGGCAGCUCUUCUACUGUUCCCUCUCGGCUUUACCUAAGUUUCUACUCAGGUUGCAAAGCCACAGGGCUCCCAGAGUCUCUGUCUCUCUCUGUCUCUCUGUCUCUCUGUCUCUCUGUCUCUCUGUCUCUCUGUCUCUCUGUCUCUCUGUCUCUCUGUCUCUCUGUCUCUCUGUCUCUGUC
rnacentral:lncRNA from 1 species